rnacentral:lncRNA from 1 species
CAAAUACACUGAAAUGAAAUGGCAAAGGACAUAAUUCAAUAUGAAUGCCUGGGGUUGAGUCUCAGAACUGCAAAAUAUAAUAAUAACAAACAACAGUAAAUAAAUCCAUUCACAGAUGAGAAAAUGGGCCAUUUGAGGUUAACUUUCUUACUAACUUCUACGACUUGAAUAAGGUGGUAGGUCUUCUAGUCCAGAUCCAGUUCCAAAACCCACAGGCACCGGUUCUCUGGGUCCACACGAAGCUUUCCCACCCAGCAGGGCCACCCCAACCAACUCUGCCUGGUCCCCACAGAGGGGAGGUCGGCCCUCAGGGACACUGUACGAGGCUUGGGAGGGUCUGACACCUAGAAGGCCUGGACUACGGCAUGCUAACGUCAUAAAGGCCACGGGCCAACCUCGGGCUUAACGGCCCACCCUCGGGCUUACCAGCCCUCCCAAACCAGGUGGGGCCCCACAAACGCUUCCCUACCCAGUGCGGGGCGGAGAAGCGGGGUCCAUAUGGCAGGUGAAGACGAGAAUCCACUCUGGAGCCGGAUUUGCCUUCUGCAGAAUGCAGACUAGCUGAAUCAUCAGCCCCAUCGCCCAAGGCAGGCAAAACAAGUGGAAUUCUUCAAAGACCAUACCUGGAUGGGGAAAUCCUCGGGGAAGGCCGGGGAACCCUGGGACAUCUUCCGCGAGGUGCAGGCCCUACCAGGCCUCGGGAGGAGGCAGGCCAAGUCGAUGACACUCAUUCUCCUGCAUUCUGACGUUUCCAGCAUGAAGAAGGUGUCCCUGGCGCUUCCGGUCCCAGGGACGCCCAGCAGAUUCUGAAAUCCCAGUUCCCUGGCAGAAUCCACACAGGAGGUACAGUAUGAAGUUGUCAGAGUCUCAGGAAACAUUUCCUCCUCCUCGGAAAGAUUGGAUUUAACCAUGGGAACAGAUAUUUACUCUGAACUUCAACAGCUUUAAAGAAAUGUAGAAGAACCCCAAACAGGGCAAUGACACACAUGCUGGUGCCACAUGGCUGAAAUCCCAGAGCUCCCAGAGGCUCGGACAGAGGUUCAUAGUUUUGAGCCCAACCCUGGCAAUUCAAUAAUUUAGUGAACCUUGUCUCAAAAUAAAAAAUUUAAGGGGCCAGGGAUUUAGCUCAGUGGUGCUGCCACCUGCCUUGCAAGCCCAAGGUCCCGAGUUCGAUCCCAGGUACCAAAAAAAAAAUUUAAAAAGGGCUGAGAGAUACCUCAGUGCAAAGGCCCUGUAUUCAACCUUCAAUGCCAUAAACAAACAGUUAAAUAAAAUCUAUGGCUUUAUACCCCAAGAGAAAGCAAGCCUGCCAUAAUGGCCUAAGAGGGAGCAAAGAGAAGGUAUACAUAGGAAUUUUAUUUCUUCUGAAGUCAUCUCUGUCCUGUGAGGGUGUCUAGUACUGCUACCCUUUAGAAGCCACCCUUACUUCUGACCCCAGAAAAUUGAGAAUUAUUUCUAACAAUACAUGAUAACUGUCAUAAAAAAGUAUAUUUGAAGCUGGGCAUGGUGGCAAAGGGCUGUCAUGCUAGCACUUGGGAAGCUGAGACAGGAGGAUCACCGCAAGUUCAAGGCUAGCAUGGGCUACAUAGUGAGAUCAAGCCAGACUGUCUUACAGAGUGAGACCCUGUCUCAAAAGAAAAAAAAAAAAGGAAAUAUAUUAUGUGCAUACCUGUAGUCCUAGCUACUCAGGAGACUGAGGCAAGAGAAUAAUGAGUUCAAGGUCAGCCUGAGCAAUUUAUGGAAACUCAGUCUAAAUAUAUAUAUAUAUGUAUAAACACUGAGCUUUUGGUAUUCUUGGGUCAUGCAGAAACAAUAGUUUGUCUGUCUCUGACUGUUUCCCUGUGGCUGCCUUAUAUUACAAGACACUAUGACAAUUUAUGAAAGAUGGCUCACUGAUCAAUGUCUUUUCUUGCUAAGUGUGGGGGCACAAGUCUGUAAUCCCAGCAUGAGGAUCCCCACAAGUUCAAGGCCAGCCUAGACUACAUAGUAAGACCACCCUAUCUCAAAGAAUUGAGGUUUUUAAAGAUUUUAUUGUACUUUUGUGGUAGUGAGGAUUAAACUCAGGAGACAUUGCGCUAUAUCCCCAGCCCUUUUUAUGCUGCUUGAGAUAGGGUCUCGCUAAGUUGUCCAGGCUGGCCUAGAACUUUCGAUCCUCCUGCUUCAGCCUCCUGAGUCACUGAGAUUACUGGUGUGUGUCUUCAUGCCUAGUACACUAAAAUAUUAUCUUUAAGGAGACAGCAGCAUUUCACAGAGUUGUUUUUCCUUAAAAUAAUCCUUACAGGGGUUGAGGCAUUGUUCUGUGGUUGAAUACUUGCCUAGCAUACCGUAAGGGUCUGGGUUGAAUCCUAUUGUCAAAAAUAAAGUAAUUUUUAUAAAAAUAGUAGCAUUAUAAAAUAGAAUCCUUAAUAUAAG